CCUUCUUGUUUUUAAAUCAUCCGCGUUGCUUUCCCUCUCCUCUCAAUCCCUUUUCUCCAACAAACGACAUGGGCAAAAAGAAACCCAAGGAACUAGACGCAGCCUGCGUUUCGCAAAACGACACCGUUCCUGCUUCCUCUGACAUUUUCAAGAGCCUUUUCGGCGAUGUUGAGCAAAACGAAGCCGCUUCCUCCAUCUUCUCCGAUAGGAAUCCGUUCAAGAGAAAACCCCAAGAGUCGAGCUCUGGAUUAGGUAAUGUCAAAUUCAAUGAAAGCCCUAAACUUAGUGAUGCUAAAGAUUCCAAUCUUGAUUUGGUGAAGAGAAGGCGAAACGAAGAGAAAAAGCACAAUCUUGAUGAAGUUUCAAUGGAAGGAGAAGCCAUAGGGACUCCUUUGGUUGCCAGGAAAAUGAAGAAACUAAAAAUCCAAAACUCUGGUUUCAUUUCUGAGGUGUCAGAAGGAAACCCCAAUAUGGGUUCUGGUUCUCGUCCAGAAAACGGGAACAAAAACUCUAGCUUGGUGGUUGAGCCAAAAGCAGAGAUAACCCAUAAUGAGAAGAGCAACAAGCGAAAGAAGAGAAAGAGAGAUGAGUUGGAGAGAGAGUACGAGACCCAAAAGUAUGGCCCGAAGCCCGAAGAUGAUGCAAAUGUAGUUAUUGUUGGAGAGAAGAGGAAAAAGGUGGAUAAUGAAGCGGAUUUGUUAGUUUCAAAGGAUGGAGAGGAAUUUGAUGAUGAGAGUAAGCUCUUGAGGACGGUGUUUGUGGGUAACUUGCCUCUGAAGACGAAGAAGAAGGCGCUAAUGAAGGAGUUUGGCCAGUAUGGGGACAUUGAGUCUGUGAGGAUCCGGUCUGUACCCAUUGUAGAUACCAAGAUACCGAAAAAGGGGGCCAUUAUACUGAACAAAAUCAAUGAUUCUGCUGACAGUGUCCAUGCUUACGUUGUUUUCAAAGCACAGGAAUCUGCAGAGGCUUCUCUGGCCCAUAAUAUGGCUUUGGUUGGAGGACAUCACAUUCGUGUUGACAGGGCAU
rnacentral:misc_RNA from 1 species